CAUGUAAAGUGGAUAGGAGGGACUCUCAGGUACUUUUCAUUUUACGUUAUAGGGUUCUUCUGAGCACACGCAGGCUUUGGAUCACAAAGUUUGGGUUGAGUUUUUGUGAUGCCAAGUGCUAGUUGUGUGAGUGGGUGAUUCAUCUCUUAGUGUCUGGGUUUCCUCAUCUCCUUAGCAUGGUAAUAGUUACAUUGACUUUUCAAGGACUUAUCUGGAGUAGUUCUCUCAUUCCACCAUGUUGGCUCCAGGGAUUAAACUCAUUUCAUCAGUCCUGGCAGCAGGAGCCUUUAUCCUCUGGUCCCCCUCACUUGCCCCCGUUUUCAGAAGAGAGGGAAAAUGUUUGGCAUAGGUAAUGAUGAACUCAGUGGAUCCAAGAAGAUUUGUAAAUCACAAAUCUAACCAAGCCUGCUCAUCUUGAGGAAGGAUGGAUAAAAGAACAAAGUAACAAAGGAGCAAAGCUUUUUGCCCUCUUUCCGAAAGUCCCCUAACUCAGAAAGGAGUACAGAUAAUGGUUCUGUGAGAACAUAGUUUAAAGAAGAUUCAUGUAGAUUUCUUAACUCUUGAAACCUGGCUAUUCUUCCUACGCGUUGCAUUGGAAGUAGCUUGCGUGUGUUCACCCCUCCUCAUUGUUUGCAGGGGUGAGACACCCCUCUCUGAAUGCCAUGCCAGCUUGCACUGUGGCUUGCACCGUAUUAAUGACAUUCUAUUUAUUCUACUUGAAGAACUUUUUCUUUAAACCUAACUAAAUGGUGACGAGUAAUCUUCUCAUAGCAACUCCGUCUUGGGCUCCAAGACUACUUAUCCCUGAGCUACUCUGCUUUCCAUAUUAGUUAGCUAUACUGUCCAGGCUGGAAGCCUUGCUGUCACCCUCUGACCCCCUUCCAGGCCCCUGAUCCUGCUAGAUUUCCCUCUGCUCAAUCACCCAUUUCCCUGCAACCCACUACACUACACUACGUCCCUUCCAUCCUUACUGUCCCAUGCCAUGACGGUUCAGAGUGGCCUUCUGUCCACUCCCUUGGACUUCUCAUGCUCUGCAUGCUCCUGUUGGAUGAGCAGUGUUGUGAUUCUUGCUGUGAAGUCCCUGUUCUGUAAUCGUCAGUGACUCAUAGGGUGAAGUGACUACAGGAUGAAGCUCAGGGCCAUUGACUUAAUGUGUAGCUAUCUUCUAAAAUCUGACAGCAGCCUGACUCUGAUCUGCUCAUUGAUUAAGUGCAAGGGCUUCUUGCUUUGUUCAUGUAGUUCUCCACAGACCACGAGUUCUGCUGAUAUCACCAGGUGUUGGCUGUCAGUGUGCAAGUGUGUGUUCUCAGUUUCACCAUGCAUUUUUUUAUCCUCUUGGAAACUGCAUAAUAACUUUAAUAUUUUAAUUUCUUCACUAAUUAUAUCUUAAUUAAUAAACUUUGUAUGUUAGAAUGGUUUUAGGCUCAUUGAAACCUUGAGCAGAAGGCUCCUUCCCUUCCUCUCCUUACUAAUAUUUUGCAUUAUGUGUUGUCAGAAAUAAUGAAUUAACUAAAAUCUGUAGUUUGCAUUGGGGUUCCCAAGAUCAUGAGCGUGGGAGGGGAUCACAAGUGACUGAGAGGUUUCAAUCCUGAGUGCUUGCAGGAAAGAUAAUAUACUUAGCCAUAAAAAGGAGGUUUUGAUAAAUGCAUACAAUGUAUCCACCAUUGCAGUACCUGUAGAAUAGUAUCACUAUCCUAAAACUCCCAUGUUCUAUGUGUGUAUCCUUCCUCCAUCUCUUUAACACUUUUAAGUUUUCAUUCAACUUUGGUAAAAUAGUGCCUCAUUUAUCUGCCUUACCCUCCUCCAUAGCUUGCCUCAGUGCAGUGUUGAUGGCCAAGACAACCUUAUCAUAUGGAGAUUAGACUAGGAAGUCAUUUCCUAGGCCUUCCAGACGUGCAGAGAAGAGACAGGGGGCAUGUACGUGAGGACACUUAAUAGUGAUAAUUACCUUAAAGCCAAAGUUUAAACUUUAGCCUUGCUGGAAAAAUGUCAUGUGAUCUUGGGCUAGGGCUACAUACCUUCUGACUGCCACUGUGGGUACGUAAAUAUUUCACUGGUAGUGAUUCACUAGGUUUAAUUUGGCAGGAUUUAAUUCACUGAUAAAUUUUAUCUCCAUCCUUUCAAUGUAGUAAUGAAGUAAUGUAGUGUCAUUUGUUAGUAAUCUAGCAAUGGAUAGAUUUUAAUCUGAUUUUGAGAAUCAGCCAGUACUUUCUGCAUUCAUUCCAGAUAUGUGGCCACAAGGUCUAAACUAGCAGGCCAGUGGAUAGUGGCAACCAAGGUCAGAGAAUGCCUUUUUAAGUUGCUGUUACUGAUGCUGCUCAAUAGUUAGUGAAUGAAAUGCUCAUUCGUAAAUCCUCAGUGAGAAUCUCAGAUAGAAUCUAAUUUUGUACUGAGAUCGUACAGUAAGAACAAGUGCUCCCAAUAUUGAAUCUCAGUCGUAAAUUUCUUCU
rnacentral:lncRNA from 1 species